UGUAUGACAUAAUGGGCAAGGGUGCCAGGAGGCAGGGAAACCCCGGCUGGGAUACUCUCCCACUUUGUGCUGGCUGACCUGUCUGUGAACGGUCUGCCAGUAUAAAUUUCUAGAAACACAUGCUGCCUGACCUCCAGCAGAGGGCGCCAGAGGGACAAAAUAGAUCCCUGGAUUUCCUCAGCGGGUCGGAGAGAUUCUGUGCGUCAUUUAGAAAAGAACCGAAGAAUAAUGAAGUUACCCUUAGCGUCCUCCUAGAGGCUUUUCCUUUUGGCAUCUUAAAAGCUUGAGAGAUAACACGAAACCCCCAGAAGGCGGCCUUGCAGGCUUCCGGGGUGUGUCUUGCCUACCAAACCUGCCAGACCCUCAGGCAGGACUUUUCCCUGGGCUGGGAGGACCCUGAGGACGCCUUCGGCUCUGUGUAGGGUGCUCCUCCCGGUUUGCGUGGAUGGCUUUGUUAAGCCCGAGGGUUUUGAGUUCGUUCUCACUCCCUGGACCUCGAUUUUUCUUAGCACUCAGCCCUGCCCUCCAUGUGCCCUUCACACCCGAGAAAGCGGCAGCGUCAGCUGCUUCGUCGUUUUAAAGUCGCUAUAGCUUUAUCCCAGCCCUCCUGCUUUUACUUCACGGAAGCCGAACCGUGAGAGACUCUGAGGUGUGAUGGAGGGAGAGGGCCGAGCGGCCGAGCUCACCUCACCGGCUGGGUCGGGGGUGGCGACUGCCCUCCUCUCCCUUGGGGCCGCCUCCCCUCUUGCUCUGUGUCUGGCUUGGUUGUUGUGGGGUGAGAGGUGCCAUAUUAACGACCGGGCCGCAGAGAACCAGGGCCAGCCACGGACUUGCCGUCGCCCCUCUCCCCUGUGGAGGAGGCCUGAAUCCAGCCAGCGCUCCUGGUGCUAAGGGCCUGCCCGCCGACGCCCUAACUAGCUCGGCCGGAUCCCCGCCUUUGCUCUGGCUGAAGCGGUGAUGACAGUGUUCGCUUAAGACAGGCUUCCUGCCCAUGCCGUUUCCUGGGACGUUUUAUACAUGAGCUAGACCUUCACCGGGUGAUCCGAUCCGCCCCAGAUUUGUUUCUUGGAAUUUUAUAUUUGACAAUAUUUAUAUGAUGCCAAACGAAUCUGCGGUUUUUUUAGAUAUGUUGGUUAAAUCAUUUUUUUUUUUAAAGCAGUAAGUUUAUAGAAAAUGUUUUUCCAUUUAAUGGAGAGCCGAGAAAUGUCCACUGUCAACCCCCGGGCCUUAUCCUCUGGGCCUAAUACCUCAGGUCCAGGGGCUUAGGCAGAGCAGGCAACGAAGCGGCAGCCACACAGCCACACGAUGAGUAGAGGUACUCUUGUUGAGCACACACAUCUCCACAGGGCCAUCGCGACAUCCUCGCCCAGGCUGGGAGCUCACUGAUACCAUACACAGGUGACUCCCUCCAGGUUAGCUAUCUAAAUUCCUCCAGAAACUUCCUGAGGGCGGGCACCAAGCCUCUUGUACUCCUGACGGCUGGGGCCUGCGUAUUCAGCCUUUGUUCAAUCUAAUAAACUCUGAGUAGAUGAUCUCA